rnacentral:lncRNA from 1 species
AUAAACACUCCAGGUGCAUUGGUCACACCGAAAGGCAUAACUUUAUAUUCAUAGUGACCAUAACGCGUUCUGAAAGCUGUCUUCUGCAUAUCCUCAUCCUUUACUUUAAUCUGGUGAUAACCUGAUCUCAAAUCAAUCUUGCUGAAAACUCGUGCACCCACUAACUGAUCCAUCAAAUCAUCAAUUCUCGGAAGUGGAUACCU